rnacentral:rRNA from 1 species
UCAGGAUGAACGCUGCGGCAUGCCUAACACAUGCAAGUCGAACGAAGCACUUGAGUAGCUUGCUAUGAGAGUGACUUAGUGGCGAACGGGUGAGUAAUGCAUGAGCAACCUGCCCUUCAGUGGGGGACAACAGUUGGAAACGACUGCUAAUACCGCAUAAGCGCACGGUUCCGCAUGGGACAGUGUGAAAAACUCCGGUGGUAUAAGAUGGAUUCGCGUCUGAUUAGCUAGUUGGUGAGGUAAUGGCUCACCAAGGCGACGAUCAGUAGCCGGCCUGAGAGGGUGAUCGGCCACAUUGGGACUGAGACACGGCCCAAACUCCUACGGGAGGCAGCAGUGGGGAAUAUUGCACAAUGGGGGAAACCCUGAUGCAGCAACGCCGCGUGAAGGAUGAAGGUUUUCGGAUCGUAAACUUCUAUCAACAGGGAAGAAACAAAUGACGGUACCUGAAUAAGAAGCCCCGGCUAACUACGUG